rnacentral:rRNA from 1 species
CUGGUUGAUCCUGCCAGUAGUGAUAUGCUCGUCUCAAAGAUUAAGCCAUGCAGGUCUAAGUACAAAUGGUAAAAAGUGAAACUGCAAACGGCUCAUUAAAUCAGUCUUGGUUUACUUGAUCGUACGUUUUAGUGGAUAACUGUGGUAAUUCUAGAGCUAAUACAUGCAACUAAGCGCCGACUUCGGAAGGCGCGCACUUAUCAGACCAAAACCGACCGGGUUCUACCCGAUACGUUUGGUGACUCUGGAUAAUUCCGCUGAUCGUAUGGUCUUGUACCGAUGACGGAUCAUUCAAGUGUCUGCCCUAUCAACUUUCGAAUGUAUGGUAUCUGCCUACGUUUGUGAUAACGGGUGACGGGGAAUCAGGGUUCGAUUCCGGAGAGGGAGCCUGAGAAACGGCUACCACAUCCAAGGAAGGCAGCAGGCGCGUAAAUUACCCACUUUUGACACGAAGAGGUAGUGACGAAAAAUAACAAUAUAGGACUCUAACGAGGCCCUGUAAUUGGAAUGAGUACAAUUUAAACUCUUUAACGAGUAUCCAUUGGAGGGCAAGUCUGGU